UGGGUAACACUAACUGGAGGACCGAACCCACUGUCGUUGAAAAGCCAGGGGAUGACUUGUGGAUAGGGGUGAAAGGCUAAUCAAGCCUGGUGAUAGCUGGUUCUCCCCGAAAGCUAUUUAGGUAGCGCCUCGGACGAAUACCAUAGGGGGUAGAGCACUGUUUCGGCUAGGGGGGCAUCCCGACUUACCAAACCGAUGCAAACUCCGAAUACCUAUGAGUACUAUCCGGGAGACAGACUG
rnacentral:rRNA from 1 species